rnacentral:rRNA from 1 species
CUACACACGUGUUACAAUGGCCGGUACAGAGGGCCGCCACCCGGUGACGGGGCGCCAAUCUCUAAAGCCGGUCGUAGUUCGGACUGGAGUCUGCAACCCGACUCCACGAAGUUGGAUUCGCUAGUAAUCGCGCAUCAGCCAUGGCGCGGUGAAUACGUUCCCGGGCCUUGUACACACCGCCCGUCAAGCCAUGGAAGCCGGGAGUACCUGAAGAUCGUGACCGCGAGGAACGGGCUAGGGUAAUACCGGUAACUGGGGCUAAGUCGUAACAAGGUACC